UCUCAAGUGGCUUAGUGGGUAAAGAACCUGCCUGCAAUGCAGGAGAUACAAGAGACGCAGGUUCGAUCCCUAGGUUUGGGAA
rnacentral:tRNA from 1 species